UACGGAGGGAGCUAGCGUUAUUCGGAAUUACUGGGCGUAAAGCGCACGUAGGCGGCUUUGUAAGUUAGAGGUGAAAGCCUGGAGCUCGACUCCAGAACUGCCUUUAAGACUGCAUCGCUUGAAUCCAGGAGAGGUGAGUGGAAUUCCGAGUGUAGAGGUGAAAUUCGUAGAUAUUCGGAAGAACACCAGUGGCGAAGGCGGCUCACUGGACUGGUAUUGACGCUGAGGUGCGAAAGCGUGGGGAGCAAACAGG
rnacentral:rRNA from 1 species